CUGAAGCUGUUUUCGCCGAUCUGUUCAACGAUUUGGUAAACUUUGUCGGACCGCUUGGCCGCCAAGCCCGCUGAGAACUUUUCUGCGGCCUUGGAGAGAGGAUGAACAUCAAGCAGAACCAAAUUUCCCACCUGGAAAGGGCUUGAUGCGCUGGCAGAUGUCGCAGGAUUUAACCCAGCUCUGGACAUCGACCUUCAUUUUGCGCCACCAGAAAUCUGCCGCGAUGCGAUGAGAAGUCUUCUGCACACCAAAGUGGCCACCGACAAGAGAGUCGUGACAGAGUUGGAGAACAACUUUCCUCAUGCGGUCAGGCUUGUGGCCUGCGUGUUGGACUGCUUCGUCCGCUGCUGGCUCACUUUGUGGAGGCUGAGGAGGAUCUGGAGGCUGUGCUGGGCGUGUGGAUGAACAUCGCACACACCUGUGGCCUGGCUCUUUGAGGUUGCACUCGUCAAAGCGGAGUUUUGCCUCGCGAUGCUCGUGGAGCGGGAUCUCAUCCUCGCGCCAAUCAUCGUCUACAUUAAUGGGAGCUGCGGCUUCAUCAGGGGCGCGGCUGAGAGCAUCAGCCAACUGAUUUGCCUUGCCUUUUCUAUAGGUCUCAUUGGAGCUUGAAAAGGCGGGCCAUCUUGGAUUUGGAGGACUUGCUCAACACCUUUGGCAAGGCCAGGCUGCUCAGAAAAGACGCCUUUCCCACAAAAAUCUGUGACGACUUUUCAAAUGAGGCAAUUGGUGUCCAGCUCAAUUUUGUCCAACAAGAGGACUGUAAAGUGCGAAAGGGUGCUGCACUGAGGGGUUUUCUGUGUGAAACCAGCUUGUUGGAGUGAUCGCGAUUUUGGCCUGGUGAAGGAAAUCUCUGCCAAGCAGAACCUGAUCAGAAUUAUCAGACUGAUGACUUUGUGUCUGCCGCUGCUGAGGACCUGAAGGACUGGCUGUCCUCCAUGGGAGAGCGAGUUGGCCUCUACCAGCUUGGUUUGGAGCUGACGCAAUGGCAAGGCGCUGUUGGUUUGCCACAGCUCGAGGUUGGAAAUUCCCUCUGGAAGAUUGACCUUGCUGCGGAGAACGAGGACUAAAAUUGAAGCCUCUUCCCAGACGAGGAUUGAAAUUCUGCAUCUGACCCUGCUGCCAAGGACGCUGACCUACAGGGUGGCCCUGAGCCUGAUUUGGUUGACCCUGAGGUUGAGGUUUCUUUUGGCCUUGGUAAGCAAAAGCUGGCUCAGCAAAUUCAGAUGCUGGAGGCGGUGGACGGUAAGUUUUAGUCCUGUGCAUUUCCGCCUGAAUCAUUUUUAAAUGCUCGUCAAGCGCGGUAAUUGUAGGAAAACUGUGCCCCACAAUAAACUGUCUGUAGUCAGGGUGCAAGAGAUAAAUUGCCUUUUUAAUUAUCUCUGUUUCCAAGUAAUUUGGAUCAAUUUGUCUGCACAUCAGAAAGAUUUUAUGCAGGAAUACAGACGGAGACUCAUCUGCAUGUUGGAACCUUUUUUCCAAGUCUCUUGCCAACUGAUCUUUGUAGUUUGGCGCACAAAAUUCCUGCAUAAAAGCAUUUUCAAAUUGGUCCCAAGACUGGAAAGUGUCCUUGUAAAUCGAGAACCAAUUCGCGGCUUCUUCGACAAGUGCUGUCGGCAGCCUAAAUCGCAUCAUGUCGAAAAAUGAAAUUCCAUGCGCGGUGGCAAUCAAUUUGAUUUGCCUUAUAUAUUCAUAAGGUGACUUUUUGUCUGAUCUGCCUGCGUAUGUUGCAACUGGAAUUUUUGCAAGUUUAUACAACAUUGCGUUCUGAUGCCCAUAGCUGUUGUUUUGCUGGGUAUUUGCCAUGGAUUGACCAAAUUGAUUCCAUGAGCUUUGUUGGAAUGUUGGCCUAGCUGGAAUUGACACAACUGGCGCAGAUGGGUAUGUCGUGAA